rnacentral:rRNA from 1 species
GGCAAGACCGCGAGGUGGAGCAAAUCUCAAAAAGACCGUCCCACGUUCGGAUCGCAGGCUGCAACCCGCCUGCGUGAAGUUGGAAUCGCUAGUAAUCGCGGAUCAGCAUGCCGCGGUGAAUACGUUCCCGGGUCUUGUACACACCGCCCGUCACACCAUGGGAGUCGGAAAUGCCCGAAGUCUGUGACCUAACCGUAAGGAAGGAGCAGCCGAAGGCAGGUCGGAUGACUGGGGUGAAGUCGUAACAAGGUAGC